rnacentral:rRNA from 1 species
GACGAACGCUGGCGGCGUGCUUAACACAUGCAAGUCGAACGGUGAAGCGCCUUCCUUUUUGGUGGGUGGGGAUGGGUGGCGGAGGGGGGAGUAACACGUUAGUAACCUGCCACCUUCUGCUGGAUAACCGCAAGGAGGUGUUGCUAAUACGGGAUAUUCUGAAUCUGUCGCUUGAAAGGUGUGAGACGGUUUUUGUGUCGGUGAGAGAUGGACUCGCGGCGUAUUAGCUGGUUGGUGGGGUGAUGGCCUACCAAGGCGGCGAUGACUAGCCGACCUGAGAGGAUGGUCGGCGGCAAUAGUGCGACGGCGACAUGGCGAAGCCUCCGACGGGAGGCAGUAGGGGGUAAUAGGGCACAAUGGGAGGAAGGCUGAUGCAGCGACGCGGCGGGAGUGAUGGAGGUCGGCGGGUUGUGAACCGUUUUCGGGAGUGAAGAAGUCUUGCCUUGUCUGUGGGUGGGUUGACGGUAGCUGGAUAAGAAGCGCCGGCUAACUACGUG